UACGUAGGGUGCAAGCGUUGUCCGGAAUUAUUGGGCGUACAGGGCUCGUAGGCGGUCUGUUGCGUCAGGAGUGAAAACUCGGGGCUUAACCCUGAGCCUGCUUCCGAUACGGGCAGACUAGAGGUAUGCAGGGGAGAACGGAAUUCCUGGUGUAGCGGUGGAAUGCGCAGAUAUCAGGAGGAACACCGGUGGCGAAGGCGGUUCUCUGGGCAUUACCUGACGCUGAGGAGCGAAAGUGUGGGGAGCGAACAGG
rnacentral:rRNA from 1 species